GUGUCAGCCGCCGCGGUAAUACGGAGGAUCCAAGCGUUAUCCGGAUUUAUUGGGUUUAAAGGGUGCGCAGGCGGGAGAUUAAGUCGGCGGUGAAAUUUUGCAGCUCAACUGUAAAAGUGCCUUCGAAACUGGUUUCCUUGAGUGUGGAUGAAGUAGGCGGAAUUUGUGGUGUAGCGGUGAAAUGCAUAGAUAUCACGAGGAACUCCGAUUGCGCAGGCAGCUUACUAAACCAUAACUGACGCUCAGGCACGAAGGCGUGGGGAUCAAACAGGAUUAGAUACCCUGGUAGUCCACGCAGUAAACGAUGAUUACUAGCUGUUUGCGAUACAAUGUAAGCGGCUGAGCGAAAGCGUUAAGUAAUCCACCUGGGGAGUACGUUCGCAAGAAUGAAACUUAAAGAAAUUGGCGG
rnacentral:rRNA from 1 species